ensembl:misc_RNA Metazoa_SRP Metazoan signal recognition particle RNA
GCCAGGCACAGUGGGCAUGCUUAUAGUCCCAGCUACUCCAGAGACCAAGGCAGGAGAAUCGCUUGUGUCCAGUAACAGGCUGUAGUACACUGUGCUGAUAGAGUGUCUGCACUAAGUUUGCCACCAAUAUCGUAAUUGCCAGGGAGUAGGGAACCAUCAGGUCACCUAGGGAGGGAUGAACUGGCCCAGGUUGUAAGUGGAGCAAAUUAAAACUCCCUUACUAAUCAGUGGUGGGAUGGUAGCCAUGAAUAGCCACUAUAAUUGAGUCUGGGGAACAUAGUGAGACCCUGUCUUU